UCAGACUCCUGAGGCCCCUCCUCCAUGAGGACCUUGCCUCCUCAGGGCGUCAACUUCCUGAGGGCACCCUGUGAGCUCUGCUCCAAGUCCUGACUCUGCCUGGCCAAGUUCCUUUCCUGUCCCUGGGUUUGUCUUGCACUUUCUUCUAAGUAUUUCUCCUAGAAGGCAGAUGAAUCUCCUGGGCAUUAUGGAAGGAUAACAGAUUCUAGAAGAAAUAUGAAGCAGCAACUGUGAAGCUUGAGCUUCUCAACCUUUGCAGCCCUAACCCAACUUGGCUUAAUUCAGCCUCACUGAACCAGAUCUAAACACUCUUGGCUCCCAGAUGUUGCUACAGCUCUCUGAUCUUUAGAAU
rnacentral:lncRNA from 1 species